rnacentral:rRNA from 1 species
UUCCCUCUGGGCUUCCACUGCGUCUUGCGCCAGCAACGCGCCCUUGCUGUUUGCUCGGGCUGCUCGGCGUUUUCGCUGGGGCGUUGCCUCCUCCCACCCCUUGCUCGCGUUGUCGUCGUGUCGUGUGAUGCGUGCUCUGCGAGCGGGUUCCGCCCCCGUCCGUCGCUAGCAUGUCGCGGUUUAUUGCCGCGUCGUCUGGCAGCGGUCGGGGGAUGUCGCUGCGCCGUUUGUGCGAGCGAGCGCCGUGUCUCAGCGUUGCUGUGCGUCGGCUGCCUUUUGGUUGUUGCAACUCCGCGCCUGUGGCGACUUUGUAAACUUUAAACU